AAGUUAAGCAAGACCAUGCCACAGGAUGAUGAAGCUACAUCAAAGAGUGAUUGGGAGGUGGUGCCCAAUUCAUUCUUCUUCUCUGAGAACCUGCCCCAGUGUGGAGGCGUGGGACUGCCCGACAUCUCUCUGUGCGCUGGCCACGGCCGCUAGUGCAUGAGUGGACCCUGACGCCAUGCUGGGCCGGUCAGACUCUCUAACCCUAGAAUCUGAGAUUAAGAUGCUAACCAGCGUGGAAGUGAGACCCGGUGAAGCCGGGAGCCGUGGAGUACAGACAGACAAAACUCGUGUGCACAGACGAACAGAGCCUAAGGAAGAAGGUCUGCGAAGAGCUGCUUAGAUCCCUGCUUGCUUUCCAGUUCCACUCUUGGGACGCCAGGACAGCCUCCCGGUCUUUGGUUCCACAGCCUGUAACAAAUGCCCUUUUUUCCAGCGGCCUACCAAGGUCAGGGUGGUAGGGGAGAUCCAGGUACAAACAAAAGGGGAUGAACGGUCUGUCCAGAAUCAUGCUGACAAUAAAAAAGCAAACGGACUUUUA